rnacentral:lncRNA from 1 species
AUGUAUGUGGGUCAGGACUCCAGGCAUACCUCAGCUGGGUUCUCGGCAAGGCUGUAUCAAAGUGUCAUUUGUGUUCUUAUUUGGAGGACUGACUGUAAGGUCCACUUACACACUAAGGAUGUCAGUAGAAUUCAAUUCUUUGUGGCUAUAGGACUGAACUUCUUGCUGGUUGUUGGCUGGAGGUUGCCCUCAGCUCCCUGUUACACGGAACUCAACAUGGCUGCUUGCUUCUUCAAGGCCAGCACUGAAGGGAACUUGCUUAGCCCAAUAAAGAGCAUUUAUGAAAAACCUAUAAAUAACAUCUUAAUGGUGAAAGAAUGACUGCCUUCCUCCAAGAUUGGGAGCAAGGAGUUCCCUGGCGGCUCAGCAGAAGGUAAGUAUGUCUCUGUUCUCACCAUUUCUGUUCAACAUUGUACUAGAGAUGAUAGCUAGUGCAAUUAGGGGGAAAAAAAAGACAUCUGCAUUGGAAAAGAAGAAAUAAAGCUGUCUUGGGGUUCCCGUGGUGCA